rnacentral:lncRNA from 1 species
AUGUUUCACACAACCCCUCCCGCUCGCGCCCAUUUGCAGAGGUUUUCUCUCGCGAGAGAACCGCAACUGUGCAUGAAGAACUUGCCUCAAAUCAUUGGGUUUGGCUUCUCCUAUCAAACUUUCCCCAAGAUUUUCCAAAGCUGGAGCAGACUUCCAUUAUUCCUGAACCACACCUUGCCUGGUGCUACCAUAGCAGUCCCGGGAGAUGCUUCUCAAGCCUGGAGCUUUCGUGUUCAGAUCCCCAGAAUCGAAAUCCCUACUUGCAUAACAAAAGGAGAACCUGGAAAUAUGUUGGGAAAUGAGAGUUCGGAUAACAAACCUACAGAUUGUCCGGAAUUUGUCCAGUGUGACUCACAAUGUGGUGUGCGGACAAUAAAGACGGACCAGCCCUGGCUCACAAAGGGAGAGUUAAAAGACGACCAGCAGCUGUUGUCAUUUCUCCUGAGGCCAGAAGAGGAAGUGGGUUUACACUGGAGCGGGAGGGAUUUAGACUGGUAUAUGAAAGGAUUUCGGACUCAAGGUAAUGCUUUCUCACGAACAGCACAAUCACAUCUCCAGCUUCUGUUAUUUAAAAGCAGAGAAUCUGGUGUCUUCUGAUGGCGGGCUGGAGACCAUUGGUCCCCAGAGUCCCAGAGGACCACAGGAUGGCUCUUUUUAAUAUUUCAAAAAGCCUAAUAAUAUAGAUUCAACAUUUAAACACAACGAGUUGAAUAGACUCAUAAGAAUGUCUUUUUGAAAACCCUUUGACUGAAAUUAUAUCAGCUCAGUAUUAUUUCACGUUGGUCAGAUGCUCGUAUUUUAAUAAAUGUUUUCUAUGACUACA